rnacentral:rRNA from 1 species
UACGUAGGGUGCGAGCGUUGUCCGGAAUUAUUGGGCGUAAAGAGCUCGUAGGCGGCUUGUCACGUCGGUUGUGAAAGCCCGGGGCUUAACCCCGGGUCUGCAGUCGAUACGGGCAGGCUAGAGUGUGGUAGGGGAGAUCGGAAUUCCUGGUGUAGCGGUGAAAUGCGCAGAUAUCAGGAGGAACACCGGUGGCGAAGGCGGGUCUCUGGGCCGAUACUGACGCUGAGGAGCGAAAGCGUGGGGAGCGAACAGG